rnacentral:rRNA from 1 species
AUUGAACGCUGGCGGCAGGCCUAACACAUGCAAGUCGAGCGGAGCGGCGGACGGGUGAGUAAUGCAUAGGAAUCUGCCUGGUAGUGGGGGAUAACGUACGGAAACGGGCGCUAACACCGCAUACUAUCAGACGAGCCUAGGUGGGAUUAGCUAGUUGGUGGGGUAAAGGCCUACCAAGGCGACGAUCCGUAACUGGGCUGAGAGGAUGAUCAGCCACACUGUAACUGCGACACGGUCCAGACUCCUACGGGAGGCAGCAGUGGGGAAUAUUGGACAAUGGGCGAAAGCCUGAUCCAGCCAUGCCGCGUGUGUGAAGAAGGUCUUCGGAUUGUAAAGCACUUUAAGUUGGGAGGCGUUACCAGCAGAAUAAGCACCGGCUAACUUCGUGCCAGCAGCCGCGGUAAUAC